rnacentral:rRNA from 1 species
UAGAAUUAUUGCUGCGGUUAAAAAGCUCGUAGUUGGAUCUGUGCUGGGAACUGGGUCCGCCUUCGGGUGUGCACUCAGCUUCCCGGCUUUUUGCUGGUUUUCCCGUUGUGGCCUUUACCGGUUGCAGCGGGUGGCUGGCGAGUUUACCUUGAAGAAAUCAAAGUGCUUAAUACAGGCGAUUUGCUUGAAUGUGGUGCAUGGAAUAAUAGAAAAGGAUUUCGGUUCUCUUUUAUUGGUUUUACGAGCUGAGAUAAUGGUUAACAGAGACAAACGGGGGCAUUCGUAUCGUUGCGUGAGAGGUGAAAUUCUUGGACCGCAGCGAGACGAACUACAGCGAAAGCAUUUGCCAAGAAUGUCUUCAUUAAUCAAGAACGAAAGUCAGAGGUUCGAAGGCGAUCAGAUACCGCCCUAGUUCUGACCGUAAACGAUGCCAACUAGCGAUCCGCCGGCGGAUAUUUCGCCCUGGUGGGGAGCUUCCCGGAAACGAAAGUCUUCCGGUUCCGGGGGAAGUAUGGUUGCAAAGCUGAAACUUAAAGGAAUUGACGGAAGGGCACCACCAGGAGUGGAGCCUGCGGCUUAAUUUG